rnacentral:rRNA from 1 species
AACGAACGCUGGCGGCGCGCUUAACACAUGCAAGUCGAACGAGAAGGCGUAGCAAUACGCUUGUACAGUGGCGAACGGGUGAGGAAUACAUGGGUAACCUACCCUCGAGUGGGGGAUAACCCGCCGAAAGGCGGGCUAAUACCGCGUACGCUUCCGAUCUUGCGGGAUUGGAAGGAAAGCUGUCCCUUGGGGAUGGCGCUCAAGGAUGGGCUCAUGUCCUAUCAGCUUGUUGGAGGGUAACGGCCUACCAAGGCAUCGACGGGUAGCUGGUCUGAGAGGACGAUCAGCCACACUGGCACUGCGACACGGGCCAGACUCCUACGGGAGGCAGCAGUGAGGAAUAUUGCGCAAUGGGCGAAAAGCCUGACGCAGCGGCGCCGCGUGGGGGAUGAAGGUCUUCGGAUUGUAAACCCCUUUCGGGAGGGAAGACGGCCUUAGACAACUAAGGCGGACGGUACCUCCAGAAGCAGCCACGGCUAACUUCGUGACAGCAGCCGCCGUAAG